UACGGAGGGGGCUAGCGUUGUUCGGAAUUACUGGGCGUAAAGCGCACGUAGGCGGCUUUGUAAGUUAGAGGUGAAAGCCCGGGGCUCAACUCCGGAAUUGCCUUUAAGACUGCAUCGCUAGAAUUGUGGAGAGGUGAGUGGAAUUCUGAGUGUAGAGGUGAAAUUCGUAGAUAUUCGGAAGAACACCAGUGGCGAAGGCGACUCACUGGACACAUAUUGACGCUGAGGUGCGAAAGCGUGGGGAGCAAACAGG
rnacentral:rRNA from 1 species